AUUGAACGCUGGCGGCAUGCUUUACACAUGCAAGUCGAGCGGCAGCGCGGGGGCAACCCUGGCGGCGAGCGGCGAACGGGUGAGUAAUGCAUCGGAACGUGUCCCGUAGAGGGGGAUAGCCCGGCGAAAGCCGGAUUAAUACCGCAUAUGCUCUACGGAGGAAAGCCGGGGAUUCGCAAGAACCUGGCGCUAUGGGAGCGGCCGAUGUCCGAUUAGCUAGUUGGUGGGGUAAAGGCCUACCAAGGCGACGAUCGGUAGCUGGUCUGAGAGGAUGAUCAGCCACACUGGGACUGAGACACGGCCCAGACUCCUACGGGAGGCAGCAGUGGGGAAUUUUUGGACAAUGGGGGAAACCCUGAUCCAGCCAUGCCGCGUGAGUGAAGAAGGCCUUCGGGUUGUAAAGCUCUUUUU
rnacentral:rRNA from 1 species